GAUGAACGCUAGCGGCAGGCUUAAUACAUGCAAGUCGAGGGGCAGCGCAGUGUAGCAAUACAUGGGCGGCGACCGGCAAACGGGUGCGGAACACGUACGCAAUCUACCCAAAACUGAUGAAUAGCCCUCCGAAAGGAGGAUUAAUACAUCGUAACCUAUUAGAGUAGCAUUACUUUAUUAGUAUAGCUCCGGCGGUUUGGAUGAGCGUGCGCCUGAUUAGAUAGNGGCGGGGUAACGGCCCACCAAGUCUGCGAUCAGUAACUGGUGUGAGAGCACGACCAGUCACACGGG
rnacentral:rRNA from 1 species